GUUUUUCAGGAUUUGCAGCCACCAAAAGGCAAAAGGCAAAAGGCUUUAGUAAAUACCAAAAAGGAUUCGGAUUUAGAAAUGAAAAACAGAAAGAGUCUCUAUCCACACAGCACUUAAGCAGCAGACAGAUACAUAAUUGUAUUUAUUUAGAUCAUAAAGAUGUUGCGAACUCUGCAAGUAACAAAUUAAAAAGCACUCAUUUGGUCCACCAAUGGAGUAAAUCCUUGCGUCUGUUGAUCUUUUUCUGCAGCUGGAGUAGCCCAUACAGCAAGGCCUCCGCAGUGGGAGGGCAUCCUGGAACAUAAAU
rnacentral:misc_RNA from 1 species